rnacentral:rRNA from 1 species
AGUGAACGCUGGCGGUAGGCCUAACACAUGCAAGUCGAACGGCAGCACAGUAAGAGCUUGCUCUUACGGGUGGCGAGUGGCGGACGGGUGAGGAAUACAUCGGAAUCUACUUUUUCGUGGGGGAUAACGUAGGGAAACUUACGCUAAUACCGCAUACGACCUACGGGUGAAAGCAGGGGAUCUUCGGACCUUGCGCGAUUGAAUGAGCCGAUGUCGGAUUAGCUAGUUGGCGGGGUAAAGACCCACCAAGGCGACGAUCCGUAGCUGGUCUGAGAGGAUGAUCAGCCACACUGGAACUGAGACACGGUCCAGACUCCUACGGGAGGCAGCAGUGGGGAAUAUUGGACAAAGGGCGCAAGCCUGAUCCAGCCAUACUGCGUGGGUGAAGAAGGCCUUCGGGUUGUAAAGCCCUUUUGUUGGGAAAGAAAAGCAGCAGGUUAAUACCCCGCUGUUCUGACGGUACCCAAAGAAUAAGCACCGGCUAACUUCGUG